UGUUAAUUUUGUAUCUUGAUUUGAGAUACUGAUUAAAUUAAUAUAUAAACAUUUUGAAAAAAUAUAUAUUUAAAAAAUAAUAAACAGUUGACCAUAUUAAAAUAACUUGAUAAAAAAAUGUAAUUUCACAAAGUUGAAUAAAAUUAUUUUCUGAUAAAAUGAAGUGAAACAAGUUGGUGAGACAUGGCCCCAUAUCAUUCAUUCUCCCAACAAGAAAGGGGUUCUUAAAUUACGAAGGACAAAGUUUUAUAAAUGCUGAGGAAAACACUCUCAGAUCACACUCAUACCAAGAAAUGUCUCACCUUCAAAAUUAAUUAUAUGUUUUGCAAGAAAAUAAAUAACCAAUUUAUUUAAGAAGUUUUGAAUUUAACUUUCAAAGAAUAAAAUAAUUAUUUUAAUAUUAUUUAAUUAUGUAAAAAAAAGUUCUAUCUUUCCAUGUAAUUACUAAAUUUAAUAAAUUUAUUUUGUUAUUAACAUGUUUUAUUAUAAUAAAAGUUGUGUUUUAAUUUAUUGAUGGUAACUUAUGUCUUAUCGUAUUUAUAUUUUGUUUGUACUGUUUCACAUGUUCUUUGGAUACAUUGUUUGUCACCAUGCAAACAUGUAAUUUCACAGUCAAACUGCAUUAUUUCUGAAACCAAUUUGUCCUCAAACACGUUAAUGUUGAUAAGUGAAAACAAGAACAUGACAUUUGUAACGUUAUGGGACUCUUCUUUUUCUUUUUACAAAAAUUUAUUUAUUUUUUAUUUUUUUAUAUUUUCAUGUAAAAUUAAUUUUUUUUUUCAAACUUGAAUAUUUUGAACAUUUCUAGUAAAAACACUAUAGGAAUAAGCUUCUGUCAAAAAUUUAAGUGACGAAAUUUCUAAUAUAAAUUAAGAUGCUGUUUGUUGAUUUAUUAUUAAUAUGAAUAUUAUAACAUUAUAUUAUAAUUCAAAUUGAAGAUUAUUUGUUACAUUAAAAUUUAGAAUUUGAACUAAAUACGAAAACGUUAUAGUACAUGAACCAAAAGAUAACCCAUAAUUAUUUUCAAUAGAAGAGAAUUAUGAAAGGAGUUUUAAGUUAGUUUUUACUAUAUUGUUUUUAAGAUUUUUUUUUCAAAGUAAGAGUUUAAUAAACUUAUAUUUUAAUAAUUUCUAUUUAUUGACGGAUAAAAAUAUAUAUUAUUUUAAAAUAGUUUUUGUUCUUGUGAUUUAGAUAUUUUUAAAUUUUUCUUUACAAAAUAUGUCGUUAUAUGAAAACAGUAAAAUUGAUUAAAUAGAAUAUUUUUUAUAAUCACUAAAAAAUUAUUAAAUAAAAAUUAAUUUUAUAGACUAAAUAAUUAAUUCUAAAAUUAACUAAAUUAGAUGAGAUUAAAAAAUUUAUUGAUUUUUAAAUUAUUUGUUAUUAUUAAUAAAUAUUUUUUAAAUUAAUAAUUAAUUAAAUAUUAAAUUAGGAGCUAUUUAUUAAUAAUAUAAAAUAAUUUAAAAAUUAAUAAUUUUUAGAUUUUUUAAAAUAAUAUUUAAUUUAGUAAUGAAUGGUUGGAUAAGAUUUAUGUGGAAACACGUAAUAUCCACACACUAUUUCAGCAUAUGAUAAAUAUUAUUGUUGUUUUUCCCUCUGACUUUCCUGUCUUUGUUCACAAACGUAUUAAUGAAAAACGCAUAUGAUAAACGCAUUAUGUACGGAUAUUACCCACAGAUUCUGAAUCCGUAGGUAAAUUCAGCAUUACCUACUAACUAUUACUCAUGAAUCUUAUUACCUACCAAUUUUUACCUAUGGAUCUCUAUUACGUACAACUAUUACUCACGAAUCUUUAUUACAUACGAACUAUCACCCACAAAUCUCUAUUAUCUACCAACUAUUUUCAUAAUAAUUAAUAUAUACAUAAUAUUAAAAAUAAAUAUUAUUAUAAUAUAUAUAAUUAUAAAAUCAUAAUUAAUAUUCAUAAAUAAUAAUAAUCAUAACUAAUAAGUAUACAUAUUAUUAAUACUAUAAAAUUAAUAAUAUUAAUAUAAAUAAUAUAAUUAGUAUUAUAUUAAUAAUAUUAGUAAUAUUAAUAGUAUUAAUGAUAUUAAUAAUAUAACAACAUUAAUAAUAUUUAAUAAUACUUAUAAUAUUAAUAAUAUUUAAUAAUACUUAUAAUAUUAAUAAUAUUUAAUAAUACUUAUAAUAUUAAUAAUAUUUAAUAAUACUUAUAAUAUUAAUAAUAUUUAAUAAUAGUAAUAAUAUUUAAUAAUAAUAAUAAUAAUAUUUAAUAAUAAUAAUAUUUAAUAAUACUUAUAAUAUUUAAUAAUAUUAAAUGUAAUUAUAUUUAAUAAUAAUAAUGAUAUUAAAUAUAUAAAUAAUGUUAUUAAUUUUUAUUUUAUUAAUUAUAUUAAUAUUUAUAAUCAUAUAAUAAGGAUAAUAAUAAUAAUCAUAAAAUAACAACAAAAUUUCACUGAUAUAAUUAUUAAAACUUCUUUAGACAUUUUUCAAAGAACUUGAAUCCAAAUCUCAUUUACUAAAAUUUGGUUCUAACUUUUAUUAUUAUUUUCAUAACAUAAAGAAAAUUCAAAUAAUAAUUAAAACAUUAGAUUUCACGUGUAAAUGCAAAAAAGAUAUAUGUAGUACCAAUAAUAGUGAAUUCUCACGAGUCAGAUCCAUAUUAAUGCUAAAGCAAAAUUUAUGUAGUACCAAAAGUUCUGAAUUCUCACAUGAGUCAUGAUCCACAUUUAAUACGUAAGGUACUAGUCACACUCAAAACUACUUUUGUUGUCUAUCAAUUUUAACUCUUUUUUUUUAAAUAUAUUAUCACGAUUUUCAUAAUCUUAGCAUAAUUAAAUACCUUAUAAUAAAUUUAGGGUAAAUUGUAUGGUAAAGAAUUAGACUUAUGAUAAUGUUAACUUUUACUUUUACUUUAGUCAUUUUUUCUGUAUUAACAUAAUAAAUUCCUUUUUAACUUUUAACUUACUGAGUUUCUUUUUUUUUUAUUUAUUUUCUUUUGUAAAUAAUUGGAUUUUGAUUACUACCAUAUAAUUAUACCACUAUAAUCUUAGUUAAAUUUUGUCUAACCAUUGAACAUAAUGUGUGAAAGAGGAAAUGAAAGGUUAAAGGAUGAAUUUUCAAAAGAUUAUGAAUUGAACCUCAUGAAGUCAGAGAGAAAAACUGGUGAAAAGGUUGGGUAUCAUACUAUGUAGCACAAACACUGAUACGAACAUUGAUACGACACAAACACAUAUACAACACGGACACGGAUAUGGAGAUACGUAAAAUCUCUAAAAUGUAGGACACGGGGACACGAAUUUAUAUAUUAUAUAAUUAUAAAUUAUAUAAAUUGACAAUAAAUAUUUAUGUGCACAAGUAUGUUUCAAAUUAUUUUUUGGAGCAAAAAGAUGUUUUUCACGACUAGUUCACAAGGAUUUGUUUCUUAUUUUUAUAAUCAUAAUAACAAUUUAUACAAUAAAAUUUGAAAUUUGAGAAAAUUAUUGUAUUUUUCUUUUUGAAAAUUGUGUUAGAUCCAUACUAGAAUUGUCAGAAAUCUAAAAAAAUACUUUUUGAAUUAGACACUUCACGGAUACGUGUCCUACAGGUGUCAUACGAGUGUUGGUGUCCGAUACGAGUAUCAGACAUCGACACGUCAUUCAAGAGGAGUGUCCGAGCUUCAUAGGUGCCAUAUCAUUUGCAUUGAGCAAUAAUUAGGCAGAAGGCUACUCAUGGUGAUUUCAUCAACAUGGAUUGAUUUAUGUUAAGUGUAAGAUGGACCGAGAACUAUUUCUGAUUAUUGCGUCGUCCAAUGUGCAAUAUCGUGUUGGGCGCUGCUUUUACUGACGUGACAACCUAAGCUUAUUUCUUCCUUUUCCUUCGAGUGAAGAGGAGGUUUUUUGGUUUUGGAAGAGAAAAAAAGACACAUUUUGGAUUAACAAAUUUUGAUUAAACCAAAACAACUCAUUCAACCAUCCAAAACCAAAGUACGUAUAAAUUGAAGAUGGAGUUUGGCCUAAGACAAUAAAUGGAACUGAAAUAAAAAUAAAUAAAAAUAAAUUCUCCAUUCAUUGUUGCGAGAUCAAGAGAAGAGAAAGAUGGAAGCUACAUGGGAGGAGAACAUGCCGCAAAGAGGAGGGAGGAGCCGGCAAAGUGGAGGGAGGGACCAAUAGAGCGGAGGGAGGGACCAAGGAAGGUGGCGGCGGAGAGAGGAAGCGACGAAGGAGGGAGUUGUGCAGAGAGAAAAAAUUAGGUUUUGAAUUUGGAGAGUUUUUUUUUUAUUUUGAGAAAAACUGACCAAGGGAGACAAAGUUGACAUUUAUUAAUAAUUUUGCUUUGACUCAGACUGAUGUAAAACAACGUUAAAGCUUGACACAUAACUUGUGUCGGCUAGACCGAUGCAUGCCCAACAACGACUAUAGUGUCCGCUAGACCGACACAUAUCUCUACUUUUAUUUAAUUUAUGAACUAAAAUUACAUGUAAAUAUAAUUUAUUAACAAGAAUUUUCAAAAUAAUUAAUUUAUUUCUCUUUGUAUCGACCAAACUAAUGCACAACAAACACAAUUUUGCGUGAGUCAAGCCAACGUAAAAUGAACGCAGUUUGUGUGGGUCAAGCCGACGCAAAAGUUAUGACAAAAAACUUUGCAUUGGCUAGAUCGACAAUUUUUUUUUCUCUUCCACUUUCUCUUAGUGUCUACCAUGCGUCAGAUACCCACACAACAUUUCUUUUGCGUUCGCCUAUCGUGAGUUUGACCAACGCAAUUUGUGCCUUCCUCUUAAUCGACAAAACUCUUACGUAACUAAUCUUUCGUUUUCUUAGAUUUAGCUACUCAGUUUACUUACUUCCUCUAAUGCAUGUUGUCUCUUUAAAAUCACUUCAUCGAUCUUAUAUUUUCUAAGGAAUUAUAUACUAAUGUAGCAUCUCAUAUAUUACAUCAAUUUUAAUAAAAACCAACCUAAUAUAUAGGAGAUUUUUUAGGAGUGCUCACUUGUGCCCUUUCUUCUUUACAUUAACAUUAGUGCAUGUUUUUAUCCUUGUCUUUUCACCCUCACCUUUGUUUUCCACCUCAUUUCUCCUCCUUUCACCAUGCUCCUUCCUUUAUGCUUAGGCUACCAUCCCCAAACAUAAGUGUCACCACUAUACGAAGUGUUCGUCAUGUGAAGGCCGAUAUCACCACCAUAUAAAUUUUUUAGAAAUGCAACAAUCUUAUAUUUUCCAAGGAAUAAAUGACACAUUUGAGAGUUUAUACAUCAUCUACACCCAAGUCUUCAUUUUAGCUAUACAAAAUAUUUCAUACACACCCACUCUUCCAUUNNNNNNNNNNNNNNNNNNNNNNNNNNNNNNNNNNNNNNNNNNNNNNNNNNNNNNNNNNNNNNNNNNNNNNNNNNNNNNNNNNNNNNNNNNNNNNNNNNNNNNNNNNNNNNNNNNNNNNNNNNNNNNNNNNNNNNNNNNNNNNNNNNNNNNNNNNNNNNNNNNNNNNNNNNNNNNNNNNNNNNNNNNNNNNNNNNNNNNNNNNNNNNNNNNNNNNNNNNNNNNNNNNNNNNNGUAUUUCCAUUAUUAUCCUUUGGAUCCAUAGUCAUAAAUGCAGUGUACGAACGUUUGUAUAUUUGUCCCUCCAUGAAUUCUUUACAAAAUCUCAACCAAUACGAGAGCAGUUUACCUGUAUGCACAGGGAGGAGGAAAAUAUGUGUGAAAAAUUAGAGAUAAUUCAGCACUGAGUUGAAGGACUUCACAUUUACCUAUAAAUACCUUCCUCUAGAGUAGCCACAAGGCACAAGCAUUAAGGUGCAAAACCUCUCCCACCCAAAGAAGAGUGUGCUGUGUUUGAGAAGCUAGCAAAAAUGUUUGGGAUCUUGAACAGGGGUCACAAGAUAAAGGGCACGGUGGUGUUGAUGACCAAGAAUGUGUUUGACUUCAAUGAAUUUGUGUCAACCACUAGGGGUGGAAUAGUUGGUGCUGCAGGUGGUCUUUUCGGUGCUGCCACUGACAUAGUUGGAGGCAUAGUUGACGGUGCCACUGCCAUCUUCAGCCGUAACAUUGCCAUUCAGUUGAUCAGUGCAACCAAAACUGAUGGUUUGUUUCUCUAUCUUCUACUUCUUUCAACAUCUCAACAACACCUGCAAAAAACUUAACCUAACUCUGAUGGUUUGCAUUAUCUUUUAUAAUAAUUAGCUUGAAAAAAAUGUUCAUUUUCUUUUAUGAAUAAAUAAAAUGAUACUCCAACUUUGUAAUUAUGACCAUUUAUAAUGAAAUGAAAAAUAUAAAUAUAUUUUAUAUAGAUAUAUAACUAUUAGAUUCUUCUUAUGAAUAUAUAUACAUAAAUUCAUGCAAAUAAUAAGAGGUAUAUCUUUUAUCAUAGUUUCUCAUGAGAUUACACUUUUGACAAUAAUUAUGUUUAAUAUACACUAUACAAAAUAUUCUCAUUUAAUAUAUACUCGAAGUAACUUUGUUUUUUUAACUCACUGGAAGUGACUUUCAUUAGUGUAUUUGUCUUUCUAAAAAUAUAAAGAUUCAUAGUAGACGUUCGCAGUAUUUUGUGAUAUAGAUUACGGUAAAAAAAAAGAGAAAAAAAUAAUAAUAAUGAAAACGGAUAGAAAUAGCAAAGAGAUACAAUAAAAUACGGAAAAAAAUGAAUAUCUAUAUUUUUUUAUAAAUAAAUGUUAUAGUAUAGGUAUUAAAAGUAAAUUUAUGUUAAUUAUAUUACAACAGUAAAUAAUUUAACAGCACAAAAAUAUUUAAUAUAUAUUUCCAGUUUAUAUUAAUAUUAAUAUUAUUAUAAAUAUUAGUGUAGAGUAGGAGCAUGGUGUAAUUAUGCUUAAUUAUUAUGUUUAAAAUAUGAAUCCAAUCUGAAAAAAAAUAUCGUUUAAAUGAUUCAGUUUUUAUUGGAGCAUCCUUAAAUAAUUAGAUCAUAUUCAAAAUAUAUUAUAUAUCAUUGAUGUAUUUUAUUAUUAAGACAAAUCAAACUUUCUUUUAUGUAUAAUUAUAUAUACAGAUAUUGUAAAAAUAUAUAGAAUAGUGUAAGAAUAAGAUCAAAAUCAAUAUAUGCAAUUUUGGCAUUUAACUUAAAAAAGAAUUAUGUAUUGCACACCAAUUUUAGCUAUGCACAACUAAGAAAUUGGAAUAAUCAUUGUUGAUAUAAAUGCUACGAAUUAUGGUUCUAACAUAACCACUAAACUAUUGCAAAGUGCAUCACUUACACAUGCAGAAUCUGUAUACUUUUUUCAGGGCUUGGAAAUGGAAAGGUUGGAAAGCAAACCUUUUUGGAGAAACAUCUUCCUUCGUUACCAAACUUGGGAGAUAGACAAGAUGCAUUCAAUGUUUAUUUUGAAUGGGAUGAGAAUUUUGGAAUUCCAGAAGCAUUUUACAUCAAAAACUUUAUGCAAUCUGAGUUUUUUCUUGUGAGUCUCACUCUUGAAGACAUUCCCAAUCAUGGAACCAUUCACUUUGUUUGCAAUUCAUGGGUCUACAACGCUAAGUCUUACAAAAGGGAUCGCAUUUUCUUUGCUAAUAAGGUAAGUAACUUUCUACCUACCAAAGCAAGCAACUUAUGAAAUUCAAAAUUUUCCCUUAACUUUCAUAUAAUUUAGCUAGCUCAUUUUCUUCCCACUGUGUAAAUGAAAAACAUGGUUAAAUGUGUUGCAGACAUAUCUUCCAAAUGAAACUCCAGCUUCACUGGUAAAGUACAGAAAAGAAGAGUUGGAAAAUCUUAGAGGAGAUGGAACGGGGGAGCGCAAGGAAUAUGACAGGAUCUAUGAUUAUGAUGUUUAUAAUGAUUUGGGCAACCCAGACAAGAACAAGAAUUUAGCUCGUACUACUCUUGGAGGGUCUAGUGACUUUCCCUACCCUCGCAGGGGAAGAACUGGUAGAAAAUCAACAAGGAAAGGUUAGGAUUAUGUUUUCUAUUUUCAACAAAAUGUUUCAUAUGUUUUUGGUAACAUAUGUAGAGAUGUUGUGCAUUAUGACAUAUAAAUUCAUUUUGUUUUUGAAAACUGUGGUGAGUUCUCACUGCUGUUACUAAUUUCAAUUUUGUUUAACUUUUAAUAGACCCUAAGUGUGAGAUACCAACCAGUGACACCUACAUUCCAAGAGAUGAAAACUUUGGUCAUUUGAAGUCAGGAGACUUUCUUACCUAUGCAAUAAAGUCCUUAACUCAAAAUGUGUUACCUACAUUUCAAAAGGCAUUUGGUUUCAACAAUGAGUUUGAUACCUUUGAAGACGUGCGUGGACUCUUUGAAGGUGGACUUUAUCUCCCCACAGAUGUAAUCAGCAAAAUUAGCCCCAUACCAGUGCUUAAGGAAAUCCUCCGCACUGAUGGUGAGCAAGUCCUCAAGUUUCCACCACCUCACGUCAUCAGAGGUAUUGUGUAUAUGCUUGUUAUUAUAUUACAUAUCUUAAGUAAAAUAAACACUGAGUGCAUGCUAAUUAAUACUUGACUUUGUUUCUGUCAUGUUUAACGUUUCUAUGUUUUCCAAAUGAUUUGGAGCAGUUACUAAGUCCGCAUGGAUGACUGAUGAAGAAUUUGGAAGAGAGAUGCUUGCUGGUGUUAAUCCUUGCCUAAUUCAACGCCUUCAAGUAAGCAGUGCUUUUAUUGUUGGUUUAGUAACUAAGAAGAAAUUUGGUUUCUAUGUUGGAUUAUAUUCAUUGAAUCAUUGUUAAUGCUGUUUAACGAAUGGUAGGAGUUCCCUCCAAAAAGCAAGCUAGAUGUUACGGUGUAUGGUGAUCAAACUAGUACAAUGACCAAAGAACACUUGGAGAUCAACCUUGGUGGACUCACUGUGGAAGAGGUGAGUGAUACAAAUAUCAUAACAAAGUGACACAUCAAUACCAAAUUAAUCAUGACACUAAAUGAUCAUGUCAUGAUUAUAUUUUUGUGCAACAGGCACUGCAUGGUAACAGAUUGUUCAUAUUAGAUCAUCAUGAUGCAUUCAUACCAUAUUUGGAAAGGAUCAAUGACCUUCCCACUGCAAAGUGUUAUGCCACAAGAACUAUCCUUUUCUUGAAAGAUGACAACACUUUGAAGCCACUAGCCAUUGAAUUAAGUUUGCCAAAUCCUGGGGGAAAGGGUGCCAAUAGUAGAGUAAUCUUGCCUGCAGAUGAAGGUGCUGAAAGCACAAUUUGGCUACUUGCAAAGGCUUAUGUUGUUGUAAAUGACUCCUGCUACCAUCAACUCAUGAGCCAUUGGUAUUAAAAAAUUUGCCUCUGUCAUCACACAAAAACUUAUCUAUUUUGAAUUUGAGAAGUGAUUUUUUAUUUGUUCGUGAUCUCAGGUUGAAUACUCAUGCCGUAAUGGAACCGUUUGUGAUAGCAACAAACAGACAUUUGAGUGUGCUCCACCCUAUUUAUAAACUUCUGUUGCCUCAUUAUCGUGACACUAUGAAUAUCAAUGCACUUGCACGACAGUCGCUUAUCAAUGCAGGUGGUGUCAUUGAGCGAUCAUUUUUGCCAGGCGAAUUCGCUGUAGAGAUGUCCUCAGCAGUUUACAAGAGUUGGGUUUUCACUGAUCAAGCCCUUCCAGCAGAUCUUAUCAAGAGGUAAUGUUUAUACACAUAGAUUGCUAUAUACAAUUUUCAAGUUAGAAUUUUCAUUUUUGAUACCAAAGUCCUUUGUAUUAUUCACCCUUGAUUCAGAGGAAUGGCAGUUGAGGAUCCAUCCUCUCCAUAUGGCCUUCGCCUUGUGGUAGAGGACUACCCUUAUGCUGUUGAUGGACUAGAAAUAUGGGAUACUAUUCAGACCUGGGUUAAAGACUAUGUCUCCUUGUACUAUCCCACAAAUGAUGCAGUUAAGAAAGACACUGAACUCCAAGCUUGGUGGAAAGAAGCUGUUGAGAAAGGUCACGGUGACUUGAAAGAUAAGCCAUGGUGGCCAAAGUUGAACACUCCUCAAGAUCUGAUUCACACUUGCUCCAUUAUUAUAUGGAUUGCUUCAGCUCUUCAUGCAGCUGUGAAUUUUGGACAAUAUCCUUACGGUGGUUUCAUCCUAAAUCGUCCAACUAUAACCAGAAGAUUGCUGCCUGAACCAGGAACCAAAGAAUAUGGUGAGCUCACCAGCAAUUAUCAAAAGGCUUAUUUGAGAACAAUUACAGGGAAGGUUGAGGCCAUUGUGGACCUUUCAGUGAUAGAGAUAUUGUCAAGACAUGCUUCUGAUGAGGUCUAUCUUGGACAGAGGGACAAUCCAAAUUGGACUAAUAACAUAAAAGCACUUCAAGCAUUUAAGAGGUUUGGACAAAAGCUGAAGGAAAUUGAAGAAAAAAUCAUGGGGAGGAACAAAGAUUCAAGUCUUAGAAACCGUAAUGGACCAGUUCAGAUGCCCUACACUGUGCUUCUUCCUACCUGUGAAGAUGAAGGCCUCACUUUUAGAGGAAUUCCCAACAGCAUCUCAAUCUAAUGAGUUUCUCUACGUGUUGUUCUCUUUGCAAUCCUACCUUUUUAAUCACAAAUAAAUAUGCAGGCUUAUCCACCUAUGCAUAACUGUCUUCUAUAUCUAUGCUUAAGUGUUGUAUGUGGAUUUUAUCUAGUUUUCGUAUUUAGUACUAUGUUAUCAUUUAGUUACUAUCAUGUUGUGAAGUUUGAUAUCCGACCUAUGAAUAUCAAAUAUAAUAUAACUGGGGUUUUCAAGUGGAGCUGUUACAUAUCAUGACUUUGAAUUGGUACCUAAAUGAGUCCCAUAAAACUUUUCUAUCCUACCAUUACAAGAAUAAGAUUAGUGUUUUUUCAUUAUUACUGCAUGAACAGUCAUGCAGGAGUACAGAUAAAUAUGUUUUGAAAAAUUGAAUUGCCCCAUAUCAAAUACAAUUUUACCUGUGCUCAGAUUACUGCUAUUUUAGAGUUGAUCUUACGUUUGGAAAAUGAUACUUUUUUUUUAUGUUUUAACGAUCUACACAUUGGCUAAUUAAUUGGUGUGUUUUUCCACCAAACAUGUUCAUCUUAAUCUUUGAGUUUAUCAUUGGAUUGAUCAUAUCUAGUGUGAGUAUAUGUGGUCAAGUCCAAUCAUGUGGUGAAACUAUUUUAAUGUCGAUCUUUAGAGUUAACGAAAAAAUCUCAUUUAUUUCUCAUUAAGACGGGUGUUAAUUAUGAAGAUUGACUAUAUAUAUAUAUAUGCGGAAUUGUAAUUAAUUUGGGAAUAUAGUUCAAAAUAAGACUAAAUACAAGGAGAAGGGAUGAAGACUUUUUUAACUCAUAUUUUACACUAUACUCAAUAUAUUUUGAUACUCUUACUGACUUAGCGAGCAUCAGAAUAUUUUCUACAAGUAGAAUCCCCUCAUUUUCUUAGAGUCAAUUCAUGAAACUUGCAAGGAUAUCAUCCGGUAACCAUCUCAGAGUUUAAUCGACCUCAGCUACUGGUUGAGAGAUAUCCAUUUUCACUAGAACAAUUAGUAUAUUUUAUUAAAUUAAAAACACCUCAUUAUUAUUAUUAUACUUUUAAAAUUAAUACUUAUUAUUAUUCCUUUAAAAUUAAUAUUUAUUAUUAUUUAAAAAUUAAUACUUAUUAUUAUUAUUACUUUAAAAUUAAUAUUUUAUUAUUAAUAUUGUUAUUGUUAUUUUUCCUUUAAGUCUUAAAAAAAUAUUUAUAAAUAAUAUAAUUAUAAUACAUUGUGUCUAAAAAAUAUUACCAUAUAAAUAUUUAGAUAUUGCAUUUUGAAUUGAAAGUGAUGAGAUAAUACAUUGAUUCACGAUUCACGAUUUAUUGGUACUGAAAACUCAACAUUGACUUAGAACUGAAAGGAGUGUACCAAUAUGAAAGGAGUGUACCAAUACAUAAGAGACUCAUAUUAAAGAAAUAUUGUUAGAAAUUCAUAAGUUUUAAUCACACAUUUAAUAGAAUAAAAAAAUUGAACAACAUAUAAAGAAAGAGAUUGACAAACAUAUUGUUUUUAAAAAAUUUAUUAACCCUAAACCCUAAACAUCUUAUUGAGUUGACAUCCUUGGUUUAGCAUGUCUCUUUCGUAUGUAUUCCUCUAAAAAAUUUAAUAAUUAUAAGAUAAUUUUUUCUAUUCAUAUAAUUUUGUUUUACAAAAAUAACUAUUUUACAUCAAUCUUAAAUAACUCCAUCUUCUCAAAAUAGUUUCUUUUCAAAGUAGUGUGUGCCUUCUCAAAUAAAUUUCCAAAUAUACUUUAUUAAUUUAAAUGUCUCCAUUUUUACUUUUCCCUUUGUUAUUCUAAAAUCAUCUGCAAACACAAAAGUGGAGUCAAACCAAAUCAUCUGUUUAAAACCAAAACUGUAACUAUAUAUUAUUUUUAGUGAAUAUAAAUUGUAAAUUGGUAUGAAGAAGCUAAAUAGGAUAUGGACUUAAGACACCAUUUUCAACCAAAAAAUUUUAAAUAAUGUUAUUUACUUACUCAUUUAUGCCCUAUGACAGUUUGAUCUGAUUUCAAGUCUUAACCAGACAAGAAACAAUGACGACAAGACACAAAGAGCUUUAAGAAAGGAGGAAGUGGGACAUGGUAGUGAUUUGGAGGGAUAAGGUUGGUGCUGUAAAACAGACACAUGUUCUGUUUAACAAAAAAAUAUUAUAGCUUAGAAGAUAUGGGUGAUGAUAGAGUAGUUGGAUGAGUGUGUGUGCGACACACUGCAUGUGACACGGUCCCACACUUUAUCUUCUGAUUUGAUUUCUGCAGUUAAAGCUGUGUGCAGCGAAUCGACUUCAUCAUCUUUUGUCGUUAUUCGUUGCCAUUUUCACACGCGCAUAAUGCAUUUCAAAGCUCCAUUGGAUAAUUCUAGAGGAAUUUCCCCACAAUUUCUUUUCCAUCAAUGUGUAAGUAAUGCUAUAUUUACUUUAACUGGCUUAAAUUAAAUAAAAAACAAUUUUUUAAAAAUAAAAAAUAAUUAAUUACUAUAUUAAAUAAAUUAAAUACUACUUUAAAAAUUCAAAAAAUUAUUAGUAUCUAAAUUAAUUUUUAUUAUUGAUAAAUAAUUUAUAAAUUUAGAUUUUAAAAUUGGUAGUUAUUCUAAUACAUAAUAAUUUCCCAUCAUUAAGGAGUCGAGAGAUCAAAAUCAUUUUAUAUAUACUUUAUCACUUAAUCCAUUGAGACACUGUUCUUAACGGACAAUACUAGAUCAGAAUGAUCGUUGAUUAAAUACUAAUUUAAAAACUAUUUAUCAGUAAUAUAAAUUAAUUUAGAUACUAAUAUUUUUUUAAUUUCUAAAAUAAUAUAUAAUUUAACUAAUAUAAUAAUUAUAAAAUGUUUUUAUUAUAUUUAUCUUACAUUAGAUAUGACUGAUAUUUACGAGACUUUAGAAUAAUUUGAUAUAAAAUAAAAUUUGAGUCUAAUUUAGCUUUAUAAAUUUGAUAUUUAAGUUGAAAUUUAUACACAUAUUUAUGUACUACAAAAAUAUCUUUAUCUACAAUGAAAUCUCCAACAAUUUAUUGUUAAAAAAUAUUAGUUUUAUUUUCAUAACUUUUAAAAGAUAAAAUUUUCAUUUCUAUUGGUGUAAAGUUAUAUAAAAUGAUUAUUUGUAUUAAAAAAAUAGUUGGUUCUGUCACUGUCAGGUUUGAAACAAAGGAAUCCCAUCGUUGGAAGUAGAGAAACCUCGAGUUCCUCAUGGGCAAUAUAAUAUUAUAUUUUAAUUAGCAAAGAAAAAAAAAAUAAUAAUCUACAUCGUGAUCUUAGGUUUGGUUGUUAAAGAAUCAAAUCAUGUUCAAACAAAGCAUGCUUCUCGAGUGAGAAAGAUAAUCAUAUUUUAUUACGAAAACAGGGAUGGUUUACGUCAACUUAUUCUUUUUUUUAUCAUUUGAUGAUUGUCAAAUAGGAAUUUUUACUACAUUUUAAACUCAAAAUCAUUUUUUUAAAACGAUCACGUAUUCAAAAUACAAUUUACUUAUUUAAAAAAGUAAAAAAAAAACUUAUUUUUAAGAAAAGUAUAUUAAAUGAACACAUAAAAAAUUGAAAGACAUAUCAUCCAAUAAUUUAUCCAUUUUCAGUUGGCUGAUAUUUAAAAAAAAUUAAGUAUAUAAAAUACGAUAUUUAUGUAUUUAAAUAUAAAAAAGAAGAAGUUUUGAAUGAUUAUCAUAUAAGAAAUUAUUAACUAUAAUGAAAAAAAAAACUGUUUAGAACCUUCUUCUGUUGUAAUGGAGUUGCAUUCAAAUUUAUUGUAAUAAGAUUUUCAGAAAGAUAACUUAUUAUUAUUCUAUAAGGAUAAAAUCCCAAAAUUUCAUCUUUUUCUAGUAGCAACUCUAUUUUUUUUUAUAAAUAUUGGGUAACCUAAAGGAUAAUGAAAGUCUAGUUUCAUGAUCUUUAGAAUUUUCUAAUAGUAAUUGAAGCAUUAUUUUACUCUAUUUAAACACAAUAGAGUUAAAUAUAAAGUGAUUUUUAUUUAUUUAUUUUUUAUUAUUGGUAAAAAAUAAUAGGAAAAACUUAAAUUUUAAAUUCUGUUACUAUUCUCAUAAUAUUAGGAAUAUGUUUCCAUAAAUUCAGGACAUAUAUUUUUUAUUAUGAUAUUAAAAAUUAAAAGUGGUACUUACUUUUUAGUUGUAAGGUUUAACAAGAAUAAUCAGCUAAUUUUUUUUUUUAUAAAAGUAAUUCUAUAGUGAAAGGGAAAGUGAAAGUGAAAGUGAAAAAGAAAAGAAAAUAAUGAGACAUAUAUUAUUUUAUUUUUUUGGUGAGUAAGUAUUAUCAUAUAUAAAAUUGUAUUUGUUUGUUUUUGAAAAAAUAUGGGCAGUAACAGUGACACAUUGAAGAUUGUCUAUACCCACAUUUUCAAUUUUGUCCACCAUUUCCCCAUACAUACACUCCUCUUAUUUAAUUUCCUAUUUAUUGGGAUUAUUAAUUAUUAAUUUGGUCUUUUAACAGAGAAUAAGACAAUUUAAAUGAUGUUUUGGAUGAAUUGAAAUAUAUUUUGUUUGUUGAAUGUGUGAUUGUUUUUUCUUAAAAUUGUAAAAUGGUGUUAUUAAACAUGAUGAUAAUGUUCAAGUGUUGUUCACCGCUUAAGCAAUAUUUAAAUGGUGUAUAAAAUAAAUUUUAUUGUUAACUAGUAGUAUUCGAUAAAAAAAAAUGUAGAUGUUAAAGGAAUAAGAAAAUAUUUUAUGUUAGAAGUCUAUAGCUAGAAUAAGAGAGAUUAAAAUAACUUGUUCAAAUGAGGUUAUUCAAGCAACUAUGUCGCCGUUCAAGCAAGAUCCAUGAUAAUGGUGCAUACAUUCACAUCACAAUGUUCAAGUGGUAUCAUGAAAACUCAAAUGUUAGUGAAACAAUGUGUUUUAUGUUAUGAACCUUAUUAGAAGAGGUCCAAUACAUAUAUUAUUCAAGCAUUGUGAGAAUGUUCAAGCGAUAAACUCUCAAGUGAAGAGAAUGUAGUUUGAGUGAAUAAAAGUCUUAACUAAAAUUACUAUCUAGAGGUAUCUCUCCUAAGUAAUAUGAAACUACUUCUUAAUGAGUAAUAUGAAUCAUUGGUGUGAGAUAUAUAUGCCUGAUACAUUCUUAGGUAGUCAUACUUUUAAUGUCAGCGAUCUAACUCCUUUUUCUGUAGGUCUCCAGAAUUCGUGGUCGAAUUCUCUCCAACUCGGGGAGUAUGAUGGAGAUCAAGCCCAAGAGAACAUGGAGGCCACUCAUCAAGCUCAAGAAGAGGUGGNNNNNNNNNNNNNNNNNNNNNNNNNNNNNNNNNNNNNNNNNNNNNNNNNNNNNNNNNNNNNNNNNNNNNNNNNNNNNNNNNNNNNNNNNNNNNNNNNNNNNNNNNNNNNNNNNNNNNNNNNNNNNNNNNNNNNNNNNNNNNNNNNNNNNNNNNNNNNNNNNNNNNNNNNNNNNNNNNNNNNNNNNNNNNNNNNNNNNNNNNNNNNNNNNNNNNNNNNNNNNNNNNNNNNNNNNNNNNNNNNNNNNNNNNNNNNNNNNNNNNNNNNNUCGAUGCAACGUACCUAAUAAUUUAAGCUUUUUCCUUUUAAUACUUAAAAAAAAAAUCCUAAAGAACUUUUAGAUGGGUUUUCCAAAGAUUAAAUCCUACAAAAAUAACAUCCCCUUAUCACCAAUUACUCAAGAUGAAUAGAAAAUAAUAAUAUAUUAUUGAUAGAAAUUGAGUCACUUGUUUAAUUAGUCUAUAUUAUUCCCUAUUUUUCCGCUUUCUCAAGUCUGAAAAAUGAUACCACACCAUAAUAGUCAUAAUUUUUUCUCAUCUUAGAGAUAGUUUAGAAAAAAAGUUUUUUAUUAAAAUAAAUAUUUAACUUUUAUUUAUACACUACCUAUUUCUUGUUAAUUUAAAAUUGCAUCUUAAAAUAAAAUUAAAGGCUUAUACAACACACUAUAACUAAUAUAUUGAACGAGUUUUGUACACUCCAAAGUUCAAUGUUUUUAGUGUUUCAAAAUAUUGCACGUGUUAUAAUAAUACGGUAGCAGACCAUGUUUAUCAUGGCAUUCAUCCACACACUUUGUAGUCACUCGAAAUUUAUUUCUAAUUAUUAUAUUUAUUUUCUCUAGGAUAUCAUUAUUUGAGUGAUUAGAUAUUUUAUGUUUACAUAGAAUUAUAUAAUAACUCAUGGUUGACUCCAGUCAUUAGUAAAAAUUAAUUGAAUUAAAGAAAAGUAUAUUAUUUUGAAAGAAUAUUUAAAUAAAAAGUUUUAAAAACAUUGAAUUUAGUAAAAGAAUUACGAAAUUCUCUUUUUAUAAAUUUUGGUGUUUGAUUUGUUAAUUUUUCCUCACUGCUAGCAAGGUUGAGCUUUUGUGAUAAAGAAUAACUCUAAAUUUUUUUUUUUUGGAGUUUGUAAUAAAUUGGGUUGUAAAUUUUUUUUAAAAGAUAAAAAUAAUUAAUAAAAUAGAGAUAUUUCAUGUAUACCACAACUUUUAUAGAAAACAACUUUAUUGCAGAGUGAAUUUUAAACCUAACUCAACUCCAUAAAAUCAGUUUAAUGAAAUGAGGUUUGCAUCCACUUAUAUACUAUGAAAGACUCUAAUCUCUAGUCGAUGUGGGAUCUCCAACAAACUUACAUCUUAGAUUCUUGCACUAUGAGAAACAUGCAACUUAGACAAACAAAAAAGUCAUUUUUACAAAUCUCUAUAAAAUUGGGAUGUGAGAUAUUAUCUUAUCUCUCUUCUUAAUUCUAAUAUAAGGGUUGAGUCAUCUUUAAAAUAUCUAUAUUUAUUUAUUAUUUUUAAUAAAAAAAAUCUGAUUUUAUACUGUAGUUGUACGUACUAUAGCUGAUUGAUAUAUAUGUGUUUUUUUUAUAUACUAUCUAUUUGAUGAUUCAUAACUCAAACUCUAUUAUUUUUCCAUAUUCUUUCCACCUCAUCAUCAUCCACGAGGGAAAACAGUGCAGGUAAGGUAAUCAUGUAUCACUAUCACCCUUACAAAUGAUCAAGGAAUGGUGAGAGGCCAUAUUGCAAUUUAGCAGAAAAAUAUCAGAAAAUUACUUCAGUAGAGAGAGGUAAUUCAGCAUUGGUUGAAAUGACUUUGUUCUUGGAACACGUGAUAUUGAUCUAUAAAUAGGGUGUUGUGGAGAGGGUAGAAGGCACAAACAAGGCACAAGGCUUUGAAGAAAGAAGAAGAGUGUGUGGUGUUGUGUUUUAUUGGCAAAGAUGUUUGGAAUCCUAGGAGGAGGAAAGGGUCACAAGAUAAAGGGAACAGUGGUGUUGAUGACCAAGAAUGUGUUGGACUUCAACGAAGUAGUGUCCACUGCUGGUGGUGGUGUGCUUGGUAUUGCUGGUGGCAUCUUUGGAACUGCAAACAAAGUAGUCGGAGGAAUAGUUGACGGCGCCACCGCCAUCUUCAGCCGCAACAUUGCCCUACAGUUGGUCAGCGCCACCAAGACUGAUGGUUUGUUUCUUCCUUCUGUUUUCUUCUGCAGUUCAAAAUAACUCUUCUGCUUCUUUCAACAUGUAGUUUAUCAAGAAACUAACAUAGACAUAAACAAUCCAACCACACUUUUUAAAACAACUUCUUAUGUUAGAUUUGAAGAACAGUAAUAAUAUAUUCACAUGUACCAGGUUAUAACUGAUUAAACUGGUGACAGUUGUUAAAGUUACACUUUAGUUUGAAGAUAAUAGUUUCUACAGUUAUUUCUCACUUCUCACUUUCAUCAUUGUUAAACUCUUGAUAAUUAUGACUGUACAAAAUUUUCAUUUCAUAAACAUUCAGUUUAAAGAGUCAUGAUCUCUAUCUGUUUUGGGUAAAUUGAAGUAGAAAAAAUAGAGAUGAACAAGAUAAUAAAAAAAGAGUUAUUUAUUUAUUUAUUUAUGGUGUAAAUCUUUCACGUACUUAAACAUGAUUGUUUAUUAUAUAUUCUCGAUUGCAUGAUUUGGAAAGAGAAUUUUAUCUUUAUUUUUAUUUGAAGUAGUUAGACAACUCCAAAAUAUAAUGAAUAGAAUAAAUGAUACGAUCCAUAAUGAACAUAAUGAUUUGUACAAAACAACAAACUUGUUUUAUUAAAAAGAAUUAUUAGAUCUGAACAUUUAAAAAAUAAAAUUGUUAGUGUUGAUAUUAAAGUAAGUUUAUAUUGAUUUAUAAUAGGAUAUAUUAUAUUAUUAUAAGGUAUUUAUAUAUUAUCAAUACUUAAAAUACUUAUUUACUGUGGACUUUCAGAAUAUAUUUUAAAAGAUGAUAUUCUUUUCAAGGAUUAGACAGUUUUUUUUAUUAGCUUUGAUUAGGGACACUAUCAUGAAGAUAUUUUUAUAAAAUGAAUUAGGAUUUUUUUUUUCUGAAAGAGCAGGGAUAGAGAAAAAAAAUAUUAAUAUUCUUUAAUUUUUUUCUUAUUUUAUAUUAUUUUUAAUUUAACUGAAUAAAAUUGACCCGGAUUGAUAUUUUUCCAUUCUAUUUAUAAUUAUAGUUGAUAUUAUAAUAAAUGUAGCACUUUUUUUUAGACAUAUAAAUACAAACAAAACUACAUUAAGUUCAUAUUUGAAAAAUAAACAUUACAAUAUAUAUAAUAAUAUUGUUUAUUAUAAUAAUUAUUUUAAAAAUGAUAUUAUAGUAUUACUUCUUAUUAAUUAGUUAAUGACAUAAACAUAUUUUAUCCUCUCUUUAUAUAUAAAUUAAAUUCUGUUUUCAAACUCUAUUAUUGUCUGUUUUAAAUUGAAAUGACAGCUUUUCCAAGACAGUGAUAACAGUGAACCUUUGUGUGGAAGAUAAUAGUUCUUUUUACGUGAACACACGAGAGCAGAUUAAGGUUUAGUUUGGAAAGAACAAGAAAAAUGGUUUUGUGGCAUUUAAACAUGUGAAGAAAAGAAGAUAAAGAAAGUGAGAAAAAGAGAGAAGAAAGAGAGGAUUUUUUUAAUAAUUCUUUUAAACUAUGAUUGUGAUUUUUUAACAAUUCAGUGAUGGAUUGUGGAUAAAAAGUAAUUGGGUAAGUAUAAAUUUUUGAAAAGCACUUUUGAAUUUGAAUGCACAAUGAGUAUGAGUUUUCUUUGUAUGUGCUUAUUUUUCAGGGCUUGGAAAUGGAAAGGUUGGAAAGCAAACGUUUUUGGAGAAUCAUCUUCCUUCGUUACCAACCUUGGGAGAUAGGCAAGAUGCAUUCAAUAUUUCUUUUGAAUGGGAUGAGAGUUUUGGAAUUCCAGGAGCAUUCUACAUCAAAAACUUUAUGCAAGCUGAGUUUUUCCUUGUGAGUCUCACUCUUGAAGACAUUCCAAAUCAUGGAACCAUUCACUUUGUGUGCAACUCCUGGGUUUACAACGCAAAAAAUUACAAAAAGGACCGUAUUUUCUUUGUCAACAAGGUAACUAACAUGAAAUUCAAGUACUAUUUUCCUAAACUUUCACAUAAUUUAGCCCAUUUUAAUGAAGAAAUUCAUCAAACAUGUUGCAGACAUAUGUUCCAAGUGAAACUCCAACUCCACUGGUUAAGUACAGAAAAGAAGAAUUGGAAAACCUAAGAGGGGAUGGAACUGGGCAGCGUAAGGUAUCUGAUAGGAUCUAUGAUUAUGAUGUGUAUAAUGAUUUGGGCAACCCAGACAAGAGUGCAGAUCUGGCUCGUCCUGUUCUUGGAGGUUCUAGUGCCUAUCCAUACCCUCGCAGAGGAAGAACUGGGAGAAAAGCAUCAAAAAGAGGUUAGGAUUUAAUUUUUCUAUUUUAGAUAAUCAAUUCCAAUGCAUGGUGAUAAAGUAAUUUGCCUCAAUGAAAUUGUACCUUGAUGUAGAGCUGUACUAUUAUAAGUUAGAUUUUUGUUUUUUGAAAGUGCAAUUACUUAUUAUUAUUAUUAUUAUCAUUAUCAUUAUGAUUGAGGAUACAAAAUUGAUUUUACUUUUAUUAACAGAUCCUAAGAGUGAGGCACCAGCCAGCGACACUUACAUUCCAAGAGAUGAAAAUUUUGGUCACUUGAAGUCAUCAGACUUUCUUACAUAUGGAAUAAAGUCCUUGGCUCAAAGUGUCUUACCUCAAUUUCAAUCUGCAUUUGGUUUAAAUGCUGAGUUUGAUAAGUUUGAUGACGUUCGUGGAUUCUUUGAAGGUGGAAUUCAUCUUCCUACAGACGUAAUAAGCAACAUUAGCCCCUUACCAGUGAUAAAGGAAAUCUUCCGCACUGAUGGUGAACAAGUCCUCAAGUUUCCACCACCUCAUGUCAUCCAAGGUAUUGUUUGCUUACAAGUCACAUAUAUAUCUCAAGUAAAAUCAACUGAAAUUACUUCACAUCCAAUAUUUAUCAUAUUUAACAUUUACAUGUUUUUCAUAUUAUUUGGAGCAGUUAGUAAGUCUGCAUGGAUGACUGAUGAAGAAUUUGGAAGAGAGAUGCUUGCUGGUGUUAAUCCUUGCCUAAUUCAACGCCUUCAAGUAAAUAAUGCUUUAUUGUUCAUUAAAUUGGAAUGAUUUGGUUUUCAUUUGAAUUAUAUUCGUUGUUUCUCAUGUUAAUUUACUGGCAAUGUUAUUUAAUGAAUGACAGGAGUUCCCUCCAAAGAGCAAGCUAGAUGCUUCUGUGUAUGGUGAUCAAACUAGCACAAUUACUAAAGAAAAUUUGGAGAUCAACCUUGGUGGACUCACUGUGGAAGAGGUGAAUGAUAUUUAUUAAUUCCAUGGCAAAAUGAUACAUGAAUCUCCAUUUAACCAUGACACUGAAUGUUUAUAAUGAUAUUUGUUCAACAGGCAUUGAAUGGUAACAAACUGUUCAUAUUAGAUCACCAUGAUGCAUUCCUACCAUAUCUGAGGAAGAUCAAUGACCUACCCACCGCAAAGUCUUAUGCCACAAGGACAAUCCUUUUCUUGAAAGAUGAUGGCACAUUGAAGCCAUUGGCUAUUGAAUUAAGUCUUCCACAUCCUAGGGGAGAUGAGUUUGGUGCUGUUAGCAGAGUUAUCUUGCCUGCAGACCAAGGCGCUGAAAGCACAAUUUGGCUAUUGGCUAAGGCUUAUGUUGUAGUAAAUGACUCUUGCUAUCAUCAACUCAUGAGCCACUGGUAUGCAUAAACUCUCCCAUUUGUCAUCACUUAUCAUAAACCAACUAUUAAGUGAUUCUUAAUUUAUUUGGUUUGCCAUAUCAUUUGAUCACAGGCUAAAUACCCAUGCCACAAUUGAGCCCUUUGUCAUAGCAACAAAUAGGCAUCUCAGUGUGCUCCACCCUAUAUACAAACUCUUGUCGCCUCACUAUCGUGACACCAUGAAUAUCAAUGGACUUGCACGACAAUCACUCAUCAAUGCAGGUGGUAUUAUUGAGCAAUCAUUUUUGCCCGGGCCAUUCUCUGUGGAGAUGUCUUCAGCAGUUUACAAAAGUUGGGUUUUCACUGAUCAGGCUCUUCCUGCUGAUCUUAUUAAGAGGUAAUAUUUAUGCAUUACUGUAAAAAUUUUCAAGUUAAAAUUGUUCAUUUAUUUCAUACCAACAUUGUGUGUCCUUUUAAUCUAUUUUCUGAAGAAACUUUAGUAAAUAUUAAAAGAUCUUGAUUUUUAUACAUUGUCAAUGUAAACCCAUUAUAAAUAACGUCAAGUAUUAUUUUAUGGUAUUGUGGUAGAAACUAACCAACUUAUCAUAAAUACAAUAUGUUAUUGGAUUAACAUAUAAAAGUCUUUUACUCUUUGUGCAUUAUGUAUAUUUUAUAUUUAAAAUGUUAAAAGCGAGUAUUGCCUUGUGGAAGUUAAAGACUGAUGAGAUAGUCAAAAUUCAUUUCAAUGAUAUUAUUUACUUAAGUAAAAUUGUUUUUUAUCUAAAAAAUGAAAGAGAAAUUUGGUGUUAACAACAAGUCCUUUGUUAUCUCCUUGAUUCAGAGGAAUGGCAAUUGAGGAUCCAUCCUCUCCACAUGGCCUUCGUCUAGUGAUUGAUGACUACCCUUAUGCUGUCGAUGGACUAGAGAUAUGGAGUGCUAUCCAGUCCUGGGUUAAAGACUAUGUCUCAUUGUACUAUGCCACAGAUGAUGCAAUUAAGAAAGACACAGAACUCCAAACUUGGUGGAAGGAAGCUGUUGAGAAGGGUCAUGGUGACUUGAAAGACAAACCAUGGUGGCCAAAGUUGAACACUCCUCAAAAUCUGAUUCACAUUUGCAGCAUUAUAAUAUGGACUGCUUCAGCUCUCCAUGCAGCUGUUAAUUUUGGACAAUACCCUUAUGGAGGUUACAUCCUAAACCGUCCAACUCUAACCAGAAGAUUGAUCCCAGAGCCAGGAACCAAAGAAUAUGAUGAGCUGAGCAGCAAUCAUCAAAAGGCUUAUCUGAGAACAAUUACAGGAAAAUAUGAGGCCAUUGUGGACCUUUCUGUGAUAGAGAUAUUGUCAAGACAUGCUUCUGAUGAGGUCUAUCUUGGACAGAGGGACAAUCCUAAUUGGACCGAUGAUACAAAGGCUCUUCAAGCCUUUCAAAAGUUUGGAAACAAACUGAAGGAAAUUGAGAAUAAGAUCUUAGGAAGGAACAACAAUUCAAGUCUCAGAAACCGUGUUGGGCCAGUUAAGAUGCCCUACACUGUGCUUCUUCCUACCAGUAAGGAAGGUCUCACUUUCAGAGGAAUCCCCAACAGCAUCUCUAUUUAAGGAGUCUACCUGUGUGGUUUAAUGUCUGUCCUACUUUAUCGCUCAAUACCAAAUAAUUAUGUUUGCUUGUCUCUGCAUAAUUGUCGGGUGUAUGCUUAAGUAAUGUAUGGGGAUCUUACAUGGUUCUCCUUUUAAUAAGAGUGGUAUCAUUUUGUGUUAAGUAUUGGGUUAUAUAAGUCUGAUAUCUCGGAUUUUGAAUAUCAAAUCAAAUUUCUCUCUGCCAUAUACAUUUUUAACAUAAACCUGUUGCAUGACUUUGAUUUGGGUAUCUAAAUUUCUACCUCAUAAAAAACAGAACAAGCUUCAUUUUUUUUUCCUUAAAUACUACUAAUAAUUAUUUUACUUUUUGAAGAAAAUAAAAAUGGAAUCAAGAAGAAGUAUUUUAAAAUAAAAGCAAAGAGAAAAAAUAAAAUAAUUGUAAUAAUAAAAAACUCUUUUCUACUUAUUGCAGUUCUGUUUCACUUUGCAUAUCCCUAGCCCGUCUCACUCUUUUCCUUUCCACACCCAUUUGCUUCUCUCCACGCACCCAUGCCACUCUUUUUUCUCACCCCAUUCUCAGUGCCACGCCGCCGCGCCGUCAACCGUUGCCAUCCAUCAUCAUCCUGCAUAUGUUUUUUAUUUUCCUCAUAUUUUUGGUUUCUUAUCACCUUUUCUCUCUCUUCAUUGAUUCAUACACUCAUAAAACAUAUUUAAAUGGCGGGUUCCACGUUUUUUUAUACAAACAAGAUAAAAUUAAAUUCAAAAUUCAAACAUAACAAAAAAAGAAUCUGAGCCCAUUCCGCAGCCCGACUUACGUUUUCUCACUGCACCCCUCCUUUACCGUCACACUCCUCUUAUUUCAAAACAAGGGAAAUCUGGGCACAUUCUGCUGGUCCAGCUACUUUUUACUUUCUGACCCCUUUGUCUACCUGCGCGACCCUCACUCAAAGCUUAACCAUAUUUACUCUAGCACGUUUUUUGUUUUUAAUUUUUAUUAAUAAAAAUUUGAAAAAUAAUAAAUAAAUUAGCAAGGGGCGACUCCUUCUUAAUUUUUUUUGUGUGAAAAUCUUAUUUUAUUUCGCAUCCCAUCGUUACCGCGAUAGAUCUUAAAACUAGGUUGUUGCCACUAUACAAUAACAAAGACACCACUAAUAAAGGUCUUAUAUCAAUCUUUGUGAAAAAGUUGUAUCGUGACACCAACAAUUUAUAUUUCUCUGUUGGUGAGAUGACCAUCACUUCGGAUGAUGUGCUAGUAUUGCUACAUCUUCCCAUUGUGGGAUAGUUUUUUUCGUAUAUGAUUUUGGAUUUUAAAUCAACUUUAUCAUUGUUGGUUGAGCUCUUUGACUUGGAGUUUGGUGAUGCUACAACAGAGUUGAGCGAGUGUUGUUGAUAUACAAACCAAAGGAUCAAGUUACCAAUCAAAAUAAAAAAAAACACGUAGAGGCAAAAUUAUAAGUAACUCAAGAUCAUACCUUCAAUUGAACCAGAGAUGACCAAACACAACAUCUUUAAAAAAGUAUUUAUUCAUAUGUCUCCAAAUCUCAACAAUAACUGCAAUCUAGAUACUUCCCCAAACAACAUUAACAGGUACAUUAAAAAGCAUUAAAAAGUUUGAAUUGGUGGAAGUGUGAAAGAGGAUCAUGAUGAUCUACCAAUGCCAACUCUAACCAAACAUAACAAUGGUUCCAAUCGAGCCAGACAAUUAAAAGUAAGAAAAAUCCCUUUAUAAAUUAACUAUUUCAUCUUGCACUCCUGCAAAAAAAAGUUGUUACUCCUCCAAAAGUCCACUUUAAUUAACAUAAGAACGUCUCCUCAAACCUACAAAACACACUGCUACAUCCUUCCUAAAGCAAGAGGUUGACUAUACAAAUUCUCUAAUAUGAAACAUUACUCCUUAACAUAUUUCAUACAUUCCAAUGAUUUCAUACACCAUUCAAAAUGAGAGAAAUCAGCAAAAAAAAAUUACAUGUAAUCCAAGUCUAGGUUUUUCUUUGUAAACCCUAAACCCAAAACAAGAAAUUAUGAGGUUUUGAAUUUGAAUUCUUUAGAUGUUUCAUGUUCAAGAAAUUGAUUAAGAUUUUUGAAGAUUUGGAUAUUGUGUUAUACUUUAACAACCCCAACUUUUAUGCUUAAAUUUAUGUGAGAUUAUAGUUAAUAAAUGAACUUGAGGUAGAUAAUUUAGUUUGCAUGUGAAAAUUUUACAAAAAUUGAGAAGUAAUGGAGUGAUUUCACGUUAACUAUGUUGAGUGGAGAUGUUUGUUGUUUCUAUGAUAAUAUUUUGAUUAUAUUGGAUAAUUUAAAUUCUUGAAAACCAGAGUUCUUGUAUGUGAAUAAGACUUUUAUAAGUUUAGAAAAAAUGGAGUUCUUAGGGUUAAACAAGUUAUUUUAUACUAUUUAAAUAUUAUUGUAUGAAAGAAUAUAAAAGAAACAAUAAAAAUAUUUGAGUCAUCGGUUUUGUUCAUGACUAAAGAAAAAUGUUACUUUUAAAUUUAUAAUCUAUAAUUUUAAUAAAGUUUAAGAAAACCAAUUUUUUUAAUAAAAUCGUAAAUUUCAAGUUCAUGAAGUUAAAUUUUUAAUUAAAUUAGUUGAUAGAGUGGUAUUUGUGAGUUAAAGUUUUAGUGUGAAGUCCUUUUAAUGAGGCACUUUUGCAAACUUCGAGUUGAAUAAGAUUAAGUUAGAUUAAAGCAUGAAAACUUUGCCUAUACUUAAUUUUAGAGAUCUAGUUAAGUUUAUGGUUUUGCAUAUUUUUGUUGAAGUGAAAUAUUUCUUAUUUAGCUUUUAUUUAGCGAAACUUUUCAAAAGAGAUAAAAGAUAAAUAUCUACUUAAAUAAAAUUUCUUUAGAAAGAAAUGAGAUUUUUUUAAGAAUUUUCCUCAACUAUAUAAAAAUUUGCUAAACGAAUUUAGAUACAACAUGAAGAAUGAAUUAUAUUUUAAAAAAACAACAGAUUAUAAUUGUGCUAAGUGGAUUUCUUAAAAAAAGUUCUUACUCUUUAUUACCUAAUAGGACUGUUCUCUUAAUUUUUUUAUUUAAUUUUAAUAUAUUUUAAUAAAAUUCAUUAUGCUUGUUAAAUUAUUGAGUGUUUAUUUAGGAUUGGUAUGUGGAUGUGAAAUCAUCGAGGUGAUUGAGGUGAGAUACUUAUUAUUAACAGAGUAAUAUUAUGAUGAUUUAAAUUUAAUUUAUAAUGUAAGUAUUAAAUUAUGAAACAUAAAUAUCUAUAUUUUUGUCUUAAAAGUAUAAUGAUAUUCAGGGAUAUAUCAUGUACGAAAAACUAAUGAAAGUUCCUACUACCUAUUUGAGCAUGAGUAGGAAUUUUGAGAAAAACAAUAUCAUGACUCAAAUUGAGAAAGUUGUUCCAAAUUAGAAUUUAUUAUCCUUAAACUAUGUUGGUUAUUAAUUCAGAUUUUAUUAUUAUUAAUUAUGAUUUUAUUACCCUUAAACUAUUUUACCGUUAUAUUCCAUUAAUUCUUAGUAGUCCAUGGUCUUACUAUUAAAAACAAGUUACAUGGCAAGUCAUCAACCUUUUUAUAAGAAAUAAAAUGAGUCAUUUUGGAAAAUCUUAAACAACCACGAGGAUAAAAUCUUUCUCCCAUUGAGUCUAUUGCAAACUUCCAUUGAAAUAUCAAGUCAAAAAUUAUUAGGAAAAGACAAAGGAAUGUACAAACCAUGUGGUUUCAUUAUUGAUUUGACCUUUUUACAAGUAAUGCAAUUUUUACAAAAUUUGUUCACAUCACAUUUCAUGUGAGGCCAUUAAUAAUGUUCAUACAAACUAUUUAAGGUAUUUUGAACCCCAAAGUGUCCCACUAACCCUCCCUCAUGUACUUCUCUAACUAAAAGAUCCUUAAUAGAACAUUUAGGCACACAAAAUCUUAUCUCUUUAAACAAAUAAUCAUUGUGCCUAAAAUAUCCAUUGGUGCUAAAAGUUUACGAGAAACAAAAGUUCCAGAAAAUUCAUAAUCAUGUGAAUAAAUUUCUUUCAAAAAUUUAAGACAAUUUUUUUGUUUGUUUAAAAAGUAGAAAUCAAAACAUGUCUUCUAGAUAAAACAUCAAGUACAAUAUUUUAUUUUCCUUUUUUUAUGCUUUAUGACAUACAAAAAUUAUUCUAAAACUUCAACUCAUUUGACAUGUCUUUUAUUUAAUUUUUGGCCUUUUAAAUAUUUUAAAGACUUAUGAUUUAUAUGAAUAAGAAAUUCUUUAUGUAAAAUAAAUAUGUCAAGUUUGUAACACUCUCACCGAGGCAUACAAUUGUUUAUCAUAAGUGGGAUAGUUUAGGGUGAUCCCUUUUAACUUCUCAUUAAAAUAAGCAAUUAAAUGACUUUAUUUCAUAAAAAAAAACCCUUAUACCCACAUUAGAUAAUGCACCACACUCAAUUUCAAAAGAUGUUGUGAAGUUUAGUAAUGCAAGAAUGUGAACAUUAGUCAAUUCAUGUUUAAGGGCAACUAAAACUUUUUCUUGUGUUUCCCUUUUGAAUGCGGGAAUAUUAAAUUUGAUCUUAUCCAAUCCCAGUUGUCUUUGUUCUCCUUCUUCUUCUUUUUUUCUCUCUUUUUAAACUUUUUUUUUUCUUUUACCCUUUGUUUUUAACUUUUUUUUUAACUUCUUUCCUUUAUCUUUAUACAUAUAAUUGAAAUUUCAUUUUAGAGUCUCACAAUCAUCACACAUAACACGCACAUGCACACACGAACCCACACACUCGCACACACACUCACACAAAUUGGAAAUUCACAGGAGACGAAUUGGAAUCAAUCAACAAUUUUAAGUUGAAAAGAAUAUCAAAUAAAUAAGGUGCCACAAAUAAGGUUUAAUAAGCCUAAUAAUGGUCAUCUAAAGAAUUAGUAAAUUCUUGAUAAUAUCAGAAGAUGCAAGGGAAUAAUCCUAACAAAGAAACUAUCACUCUUAUUUUGGCAAAAUAAUUAUUUUUUAUUCUGAAUUCUAAAAAUAUAUUUAUAGAUUUUGCUUCGUUUGUAAGUAAAUAAUGAGAUCUCACAUCACUACAAGAAAAUCACAAAAUAGAAAUUAAUAAUAAAUAGUUGCUAUAGUGACUAAAUUAGAGACCAUUUUAGAAAUUAAAAAAAAAUUGGUUUCUAAAUUAAUUUCUAUUAUUGUUAAAUAGUUUCUAAAUUGGUAAUGCAUCAUAUAUAAAUAAUGACAUUUUAUAGUAUAUAGGUGAGAGCAAACCUCACCUUAUAUUCUGAUUUUGUAAAAUUAAAUUAUACUUAUAAUCUACUUCUUAAUAAAUAAAAAUAAAAUAUAAUUUAUAUAUUUCAAAAAAAUAUAAUAUUGUCUUAAUAGUUAGAUUAAGACAUUUUGAUUCUGGAUUCAAAUUCUAACCCUAACUAAAAUAUUAAUCAGUAUUUUAGCAGUUCAAGCAUGUGUUUUUUCUAAGUCUUUUAAAUACUUCAGAUAAGAUUAUUAAAAUAAUUUGAGGAGAAGAAGAUAAGACACCAUUAUUGUCCUUGGAAGCAAAACAAGUGGAAGACAAGAGUGUAGGGGAGGGGUUGAAAACCCAAUGCCGACAUGUAUGUGGAGUAAUAGUACAAUGUCCUCUAUUCUAACACUAUUUCUCUUUCUACAUAAAAUAAAAAUAAUAAUUUUUAGACAUUUUAAAUCUCACUCAAUACUUUGUGAAAAUAAUUAAAAUUUAUAUAUUUAGAUGUAAAUAAAAACAAAAAAAAAAUUAGUAGAAAGUAUUUUAGUAUUUUACAGCAUUUUUAAAAUGGGUAUUUAAAAAUUAUUACUCUUUUGCUUAAAUAAAAUAAAUAAUUUUUUUAAGGGUUUAGUUCUUAAAUUAACUCCGUUAAAUAGAAUACAUAAUUUUUUUUGUAAACUUUAUGUUUGAUUUAUAUAAAUAAAUAAUCCUUUUAACUAUUUUUUUUUGUUUUGAAGUUAAAAACUGGUUGCGUACAGUUUGGUGAAGCUUUUGUCGUUUGUGGUUGUUCCUUUACACUCUUUUGAACGUGCAAAAUAUGUUUAAUUAGAACAGAACAUUUGGAUAAUGUUUGACCAGAAUAUUUUAAUACCUUUUUAUUUAUUUAAAAUAAACACUAAUUUUAAUGUAUAUGUUCUUCGAUGAGUCGGAAUAUUUAUAUACGCCUGUACAAAAUUAUGUUAUUCAUAAUUAACGUGAAGUCGUAACUAUAUAAAUUCUAAAAUAUUAGGAAUAAUUUAUAAUAAAAAAUUAAUUUUAGGUGAUUUUUUAAAUGUAAUUUUAAUUGAUCAAAGUUAUAUAAUUGAUGAAAUUAUUGAUGGAUUUUCAUGAUUAAUUUGUUCCAAAAUUUUACUAUUAAAUCUGGAAGCUAUUUACAUUCAAUAUAUUCGUUAACUUGGUUAAUAACAAAUAAAAAUUCAAAAUAAUUUCAAUUUAAAAAAGUUACUAUUUGGAUUUUGUAUUUGUAUACAUAAUAAAGUAGUUUGUUCACUUCAAGUCUUCUUCUUUAAUUGUUGGUGUUAGGUUGAAAGGUUGACUGAAAAAGUUACUCUGACGAUCAAGUAAUUAUUUUGUGUUAAAAGUGUAUAGUGAAAACUGAUUAAAGUGUAUCUUACACAUUUGUCUCUGUAGAGGGUUUAUUUAUAGUGUUUAAUCAUGAACUUUUGUUGUGAUGGAUUGAAUCUAUCAAAUAUUAGUGUUAAUUGAUUUCUAGCAUGAUCAUUGAUUUAUAGGGAGAUAUAUUUGUAUAUUUGGAAAAUAUAUUUAAUAAGUCAAUAUUUUCCACUAAAUCAGUGUUAGUUGGUUUUUAGGGGAUGUCACCCAAAAUCGGUGGGACAUUUUUUUUAUCGACAAAAAGGAAUGGAAUAAAUGAAGGUAUUUCAGGAUACCUCAACCUUAUACAAAAACAACGACGUCCUUCACCCUACCACUCACAUUGAGAGCUUUAAAGUGGACAACACGAGGGAAAGUUUGUCGUCUACCCAUACUCAAAUACAAAAAACAACACCUCUAACUUGAGUCAAAUCAGCUCAACUUGACCUCCCCCCUCUAACCUUUUCUAUUUUUUAUUGACCUCAUGCGUACCAAAGGUUCAAGACACCAAUCUAAGUAAGAAAAAAACAUGCUAAACGUACCUUCGAGAUGACCCAUGACCAAACCUGCAGCUGCGCCAUUGUGAAGAUUUCUAUGUGAUCCAUGCGUCCAUUCUUGAAAACCUUUGUUUCCAAAUUUCGCCUAUAACUGCUAUCCACACACAAUUCCAGAUCCGGUUAAUACCUUUGCUUUCCUCGUUCAUCCUGAAGUGAGACAAAAGUAUUUUUGAAUCCUGAUGAACCAUCGCUGUCCUGCCCACCCACUCAAAGCACUUUGCCCAAACCAACCACGCUACCCUACACGUACUAAAUAGAGAUGAAGCGUUGUUUCAAUCCUCCCCACACAUAUUACAUAUGCUACUCUCCACCGUGAUCCCCUCCGUUAGUUUUAGUCGCAAUUUUGUUUUCCAACACUCUCCAUGUUGUAACUAAGGCUGAUGUGGUUGAGCCUUAAUCUCCAUAACCCCUUGUGUAGGUCAGAACCUUCCCCCUGUAGCUCCCCUUUUAGGACUCUAUAAACAUACUAGAUUGUAAAACUUGUAUCAUCACUUUCUUUCCAGACCCACUUAUCCUCCUUAUCUUUGGUAUGCACCAGGUCAAUAAAAAAUAAGAAAGGUUAGAGGGGAGAGGUCGGUUUGACUCAAGUUAGAAGUGUUAUUUUCAUAUUUGGGUAUGGAUAAACAACAAACUUUCCUCCGUAUUUUACGUUUUAAAGCUUUCAAUGUGAGUGGUAGACUGAAAAAUAUCGUUAUUUAUUCUAUUUUUUUAUCACUAAAAAAAUACAUAAUCACAUAUUAAUAUCAUCCAUCAAUCACCUAAAUUGAAUAAUUGGCUCGUGCAAUUCCGAAGUACAGAUCUAAAUAACAUUUUGAACAAUGUGUGAAUUGUUUUUGGAACUAGAUUUAUCUGCAACAUGUAACUUUUUGGAACACACAAAAAAACAAGAUAUACAAUACAAUAAUUGAAUAUGAUCAGAAACUCUUAUAUCACAUCCAUUACAUCAUCAAUCAUACACAUUUUUUUAACAAUGAUUACAAUAUUUCUCACUUCGCUAAAGACAUCACACAUAAAUGUAUACAAAAAUCAAGAUUUGUCGAUUUUUUAAGAUAUUUAUUGAGUUAGUCUGUUUGAGAUUAACACUUCAUGUAUGAUUAGAGUUUAUUGAACAUAAAUAAUUAUUUAUAUACAAUAACGAUAUCUUUUUUGCAUAGACUUUAAAAAAAAUGUUGUGUAAGAAUUUUUAUCAAUUUUCAACACCUAAAACAUUUAUUUACGUACAUGAUUUUUAGUUAUCAAUAAAACUUGAAUGUUUUAUUUUUAUACUAAUUUCUUAAUUUAAUACUCAUGUUAUAUUCAAACUAAUGACAAUAUUAUAUAAUAUUAUAUAUAAGGUUGAAAGUGUUGAUUAUUAAUUCAGAUUUUAUUAUUAUUAAUUUAAAUUUUAUUACUUUUAAACUAUUUUGACUCCUAUUAUUACAUUAAUGAUCAAUUUUCAUAGUAUUUCUAUUUUAUAGUUUUCAAGUAAUUAUAAUUUUAUAAUAUAUACUGUUGAAGUAAAUUAAAAUGAAUAAGAUCUAGUCGGCAGUUUUGCAAUGUGCAAUUACCUUCAAUUAGUUUAUACAACUUUUUUUUUUUCAAUUAGUUUCUACAGAAAUUGUCACGUUUAAUUAAUUAAUUUAUUUAUUGUUAGUAGGGAUCUCUGUUAUGCUGGAUUUUUGUUUUGAAGUGAUAUUUUCUGUAAUGAGCAAACAACAACGUGUAGGCGAAGCAGAAUGUGGAUAUAGUUUCAGUAUUUUAGGCAUAUGAUAAUUUGGGAUAUUUUAACCCUUUACAUACAUUAUCUUGUUCUUCUUAGAAAUCAAAAAGUCAAAUGAUAGUCUAAGAAUUUUUGUUUCAUAAAACUCUAAAAUCCUUCGUAAGUAUUUGAGACAAAAAUAGCAGUACUUAAAACAACUUAGUACUUUCCAAAUGAUUAUGGAUUAAUUUUUAAUUAUUUUUUUUUCAAAUUAAGAUAGAAACAUUUGAUACUUGUAUAAUCGAAUUAAGCAUAAUUGAUUAUAUUAAAAAAAAUAGCUUUUCAGAAUCGAUUAUUAUAUGAAAUAAUUAAUUAUGUGUUAAUAAAAUGAGAUCUAGUUUUAGUUCAGAAUUACGAGCUUAACAUAACUAACUAUAUGUUCAUAAAAAAUAACUUUUAAUGUAAAUUUGAUUAAAACUUUUUAAAGAUUGAUUUAAAUUUUAUAUUUAUUUAAAUUAAAAGAACACCAAAUAAUGAAUGUACGUCUAUUCAUUAACUAGGUGUACAUUUAUCAUCAAAUCAUCAACACCCUAUCAAUAAUAAAUAAUGUAUUACAUAAGUAAAGGGAUAACAAUUUCCAUCUACAAAUAAGAAAAAUAGUACUAGUCAUUCAUGUUACAACCAUGUGCUUAAUUGAUAGUAGAAUACAUUUCUACCAAAUAUUUCAUAAUUACUUACUAAACCCUUCCUACACAAAUCUUCUAUUUAUUUUUAUGUUUUAAAGCUUUGGUUCUUUUAGAUUUCUAAAAUGUAUUAUAGAAGAUAAAAAAAAUUCUAACAAGUAUUUGUGCAUUUUUUUUUUCAAUUACACAGUAGUAAAUAAAACUAUUUUUUACAGGAGUAUUACUAACUUUUAUAUUUACCAAUACUUAUAAUGAAGUAAUGCUAUCUCUUAUCUUUAGAAAUUUAUUUCUUAUAUAUGAGAUAAAGAUAACAUAUUUUUAUGAUGCUUUUUAUAAAUUAAUAUUUGUUUAGUGAUAAAAUAUUUUAUAAUAUUUAUGAUUAUAAUUUUUAAAUUUAUUUAUUUAUAGAUAAAUGAUUUUUAUUAUUAGAUUUUAUUCUCAUAUUAGAUAUUCUAUUAUUAUUCUUAUAUUAUAUGUAAAUAUUCUCAACUAAGUUUAAAGUAAAAUAAAUUAAAUGCAUUUACAUUCAUUAUGCUGAAUAAUGUAAUUUUCAAAAUAUUUUGAAAUGUAUGGUUAGAUUAAUAUAAUAAAUAAAUAGUAUAGUAAAAAGAGAGAAAAAACUGAUUUAACUUUACUUUAUGUAAAACGAGUAGUAAUGACAUUUAAUAAUGUUUUAAUAUUAAAAAUAAAAUAAAUAUAAAAAGUUAAAAAUUACCAUUUUAAAUAAUAUCACUUGAAAUAGUAUUUUUUUUAAAGAAAUUAUAAACUACUUAAAAAAUAUUUUUCAAACUUAUUAAAAAAGUCAAUGUAAGUUUUAUAAUUUAAAAACUAAAAUCUAGUUAGAAAUGUUUGGAAAACAUCCACUUAACAUGUAUGUAAUAUAAGUCAUUGUGUACAAUCUUCAUAAUUAGGAUGUUUUUGGGUUUUUACCAAUUUUUUUUUAUCAACAAAGAAUAAAUAAAAUAAAAAGAGAUAAGAGACUUUUUAGCAAUUUAAUCAAUAACUAAAUACAAGUGCAUUUAAUUUAGUGUUUACAAAACCUAAAAAGUUGACUAAACUGUUCAAACUUAAAAUGAAUUAUUCAACACGAAACUAAACAUAAGAAUAUAUAUUUAUCUAAAAUAUUUAACUGUAAUAUUUUUAGUAUCAAUGCAUACUACUCCAACUCCUCCACUACUAUCUGGUAUUUAUUUAACAGUAAAAAAAAACUUAAACUCUAAACUUAAAAAAGAAAAUACUUAAAGAGUGAUUUUGAAUAACCUAUCGUGAAACCAAACACCUACUGCAAAUAAAUAUUUUUUUUAACAUUGUAUUUUUUAUCAACAAUAAAAAAAAAUAAGAAUAAUUUUAGAAAUGAUCCAACUAUUAUAAAAAAAUCACAUAGAAACAAACACUUUUCUUCAAAAAUUUGUUACUAACUUUCUAUUAAAGAUGAAAACAAAUAAAUCAGAUUAAUACCUUAUUCCAAUGUUUUAAAAUAAAAGUCCUAGAAAUUCAAAAUCUCUUAAUAAAAAACACACAUUUCAAAGAAUAAGACAUUGAAUAACAUGUUUUUCUUAUUCAGAUUAAUGUUUAAAACCAAAACCAUUGGUUUGUAUUAGGUCAAUAAAAAAGGAAUAGUUUAAAGAGAGAGGUUGAGUUGAGCAAGAGUGUUCCAGAUUAGAGAUAAUGUUUUUUAGAUGUGGAGCUUGCAUCUCUCGUGUUGUCUACUUUAAAGUUCACUAUGCGAAUAAUAAACUAAAGGAUGUCGUUGUCUUUAUACAAGAGUGGAUGUGUCCCUAAACUAUCUUGAUUUUUAUUCAUUCUAUUUUUACCAAUAAAAAAUUGAACAAGAAAAACAAGUAAAUAUCCCACCAAAGGCAUAGCUUAAGUUGAGCAAAAGAGACUUUGUUCAAUAGACCGCUGUCUAAAAGUUUAAAACCUAUGUCAGAUUUAACUUUUUCUUUUAGAUACAAAGCAUUUUAACUUUCCUCUGAACAGUGCAUGUGGUUUAUUUUCUACAUCUUAUAUUAUCAUAUCUGUCAUUUUUUGUUUUUAUGUUAAAUCAUUGUCCUUUCUUGUCAUUUACCCUGAAUUUUUGUGAGUGUUUUGUCACCCUCCAUUCGUCUUUUUAUGCAUUUUCAGAAGUUGUCCUCAACAAAAAACUGAGCACAUUAUUACUCAUAGCAGAAAAUUAUGGUGGAACUUGCUACUUAUCUAUAAAUAGCCUCUUUGCAGGCACAAGGGUCUCCCACAGCAUCUGUAGAAAGAAGAGUGUGCUGUGUUGGAGCAGUCAUGUUUAAGGGCAAUACCUCAAAGGUUCACCAAGUGAAGGGGACAGUGGUUUUGAUGAGCAAGAAUGCAUUGGACUUCAACAAAGAUGGUGCCACUGCCAUCUUCAGCCCUGACUUUUCCAUAAAGCUUAUCAGUUCUAACAGGGUUGAUGGUUUGUUUCUUCCUUUUCUCAUAUAAACCAUGCAAAAUAUAACAUACACAUACAUAUAUCUUUAUUAAACAUUCCAUUAAUAUUUAUAGUUUUUCCUUUUAUCUGUCUUCAUUGGGGAGUGAAAAAACAAUUCAUUCAUCAUCCUCCUACAUCAUUAAAAAAAAAAACACAAAAACUAAUUUUAAAUACUAAAUUAGAAACCAUUUUAAUACUAAAACAAUUUUUAAUUUAUAAAUUAAUUUUUAUUAUUAUUAGAUAGUUUCUAAAUUGAUAUCUAAUUAGAUUUUUUUUACCAAAUAUGAUGUAAAUUUAAAAAUUAUUUAACAAUAAUAAAAAUUAAUUAGAAACCAAAAAUUAUUUUAAUAUUGAAAAUGAUCUCAAAUUUAGUUAUAGAAUAAUUAAUUAUUUUAAUUAUUUUUUAUGUAUAAAAUUGAUUUCUAUUUAAUCUUAUGAUUGACUAAUGAUCUCCAUCUAUCCUUUUUUUAAAUCUAAGUCAUGCUUCCAAUAAUCAGUACUAUUUCAUAUUUUAUGAGACUUUUUAUAUGUUUUCUUUAUAAAAUAUUGCAAGAAAUCAGUUUUCUUGUGAAUUUUUCUAUGGAUUUUGUACAGUCUGAAAAAAAUAUGUGCAUGAACUUUUUUAUGAAAUAUGAAAAAUUGUAGUUGUCAAUAUUUAAUUGAUAAAAAAUAAUCUAACAGUAUUUUGCAUAGUUAAAUCUUUCUUAAUUUUAAAAAAAUAUGGUAUUAAAAUUUCUUUUACAAGUUUUCUUUUUGAUUUUUAUGAAAAUGUAUUUUCUAUUUUGAAAAUAUAUUUUUUUAUAGAUUAUUUGAAUAUCCCAUAUUAGAAAUAAUUAAUGGAUGUAUUACAUUUGAAUUUUAACAAAUGGAGUAAGAUGAAUUGAAAAUUUUAAUUAAUAACAAAAUUAAUGAAUUUUUUUAUCCAAUACAUUAUGAUUUGAAAUAAAAUUUAUCUAACUCAUUAUGUUUGACCCCUUAAUUAAUCACAGUACAUGAGUUUCCACAUUUAUAGCUCUUUCACUUCUCUAGUUUUUUUUUUUCUUCUAAGAUUAUGUUGGAUUUGUUAAAAACAUAUGGGACUGUACAAAACAAAAUUUCUGAUGUUUGCUUUGAAAUAAAUUAAGUGAAGAACAUAAAAGUGUGAAGCUAAUUUCUAUUUGAGCAUUAUUCUUGCUAGGUAUUUUUAAUCGGUUUCCACUUAUGAUAAAAAAAUUCUAGUAUUAGUAUUCUGUCAUUUUAGUGGAUUUGGGGAGAAAAUAUCAAGAAAGAAAAGUAUUUAUGUGAUCGAGAGAAGGUCAGAGAUUUGUAAGUAUUGUGUGUAAAUAAUGAUUUUGCCUCAAUUAUUUAUUUGUUUUUCUUUAUUUUUUAAAUUAUCACUGUCCAUUAAUAAAUAAUUAUUUUUCAUUUUUUCAAUUAAAUUUUCUAAUAAAUAUACACCAAAGAAAAAAAUUACUUCAUAAAAAAUAUUUAACAGGUAGCAAAAUACUAAUAAUUUUGAUUUAAUAUAUUAUUUAUUUUUUAUUAUUUUGCUUUAAUGAAACUAAAUUUAUACAAAUGUGUAUAUGUAAGUAAUUGUUGUUGUUAAAGAGUUUGAUUAGAAAUAAUAAGUUCAAAAUUAUAGAAUAUAAGUAGAUGGAAAUUUCAUCUCACAAUUUGUUAGAUUAAAUUAAAUAAAAACUAAUUUUAUAGACAAAAAAUAAUUAAUUGCUAUCGACUAAAUUAGAAACCAUUUUAAAAACCUAAAAAAUUAUUAGUUUCUAAAUUAGUUUAUAUUAUUGAUAGUUUAUAAAUUGAUAUAUAAUUUAGUCAAUAUAACAACUAAUUAUUUUUAGUGGUUAAAAUUGGUUUUUAUUGAAUAAUUUUCUUAGUUUAGAUAAAUAAUAUGUUAUGGAGAUUAAAAAAAUGUCUUAUUUGAGUUUGAUAAUAUUCUUUAUUUAGGGCAUAAGAAUGGGAAGGUUGGAAAGGAAACCUCUCGGGACAAAAAUCAACCUGCUUCUUCGUUACCAACCUUGGGAGAGGGAAAAACUGCAUUCAAUAUUUCUUUUAAAUUGGAUGAAAGUUUUGGAAUUCCAGGAGCAUUCUACAUCAAAAAUUUAAAGCAACCUGAGUUUUUCCUUGUGACUCUCACUCUUGACAUUCCAGAUCAUGGAACCAUUCACUUUGUUUGCAACUCAUGGGUUUACAAAGCACAGAAGGAUCGUAUUUUCUUUGCAAACAAGGUAACUAAGUUGUGCACCUAUCAAGCAAUAUAUGAAUCUGGUUUUUGUACUCACUAGGAAAAUCUAUAAACUGCAUAAUCUUGUUUCUUUUAUGUAUACAUUGGUUUGGUAAGCUGCAGUUUGACCUAGCUAUAUGAAUUAAGGGGCUAAAAAAAAAAACAUUAGGUAUGGAGAGCUAUCUCAACUCAUACACAUCACCAUAAAUUAAUCCGAAUUUGUUUGUAUAAACUUGUAACACCUUUAAGGUACUUAAUGAUCUAAUAUAUGAAAUUUAAACCCUAUAGUUUAUAAACUUCACAAAAUUCAUCCCUAUUGUCUAAAUGAAGAAAUUCAUUGAACAUGUUUCAGACGUAUCUUCCAGAUACAACUCCAACUGCUUUUAAAAAGUACAGAGAAGAUGAAUUGAAAAGUCUGAGAGGAGAGGGAAAAGAAAAAGGAAAGCGCCAAGAACAUGAAAGGAUUUAUGAUUAUGAUGUGUAUAAUGAUUUGGGCAACCCAGACAAGAGUGAUGAUCUAGCUCGUCCUGUUCUUGGAGAUUCUAGUGCCUAUCCAUACCCUCGCAGGGGAAGAACUGGAAGAGACAAAACAAAAAAAGGUUAGGGAUUAUUUUUCACUUUAAAAAAAUUAUUUCCAAAUUAAUUUGUCGAGAAUCUAUGUAUUGUCUCUGAUAUUCUUAUUUAACUUGAAUAGAAUUGUUUGUAUGAAAGAUGCACCUAGCUUCACAAAAACAAUGUCAAUAUUCUGUCAUUAUGUGUGGUUAUGUUAUUACUAAUUUGAUCUCUUUUAGAUAUAAUGAGGAUGUUCAAUAUGUUUUUGGAAAUAUAGAGAUGCUAUUUUUGUUAUUAGUAAGAAAAAAAAUUACAAUGAUUAGAAUUAAAGAAAGUAUAUGUAGUAUAGCAAAAGGUUAUAAACACAAACCUGCUAGUAGGUAUGUUUUUUUUAUUAAACACAAUUGAUUUGUAUUAGGUUUACUAGGGGUUUAUUUUGUUAUUUGAAAGAUGAUGUCGUUUUUGUUUUAUUGAGCUAAUUGUUAGGUAUUAAGGAUGUAUAAGGAUUGAAUCAUCCUCUAUUCUAUAUUUUUUUUUUGUCGAUAAAAAAAAACUCUCUUAAUGUAACUCUUGUGACACUAAUGUCACUACAAGAAAAUCAUGAAAUAGAAACCAAUUUUUAGAGACCAAAAUAAUUAGUUGCAAUAGUAACUAAAUUAGAGACCAUUUUAGAAACUAAACAAAAUUUUGGUUUCUAAAUUAGUUUCUAUUAUUGUUAAAUAGUUUCUAAAUUGGUAUUUAAUUAGCAACCAAGGUUUUAGAAACUAAAUAAUUGGUAGUUAAAACCUUGGUUAUUGCUAAUUUGAUACCAAUUUAGAGAUUAUUUAACAAUAAUAUAAACUAAUUUAGAAACUAUUUUUUUUUAGUUUCUAAAAUGGUCUCUAAUUUAGUUACUGUUGCAAAAUUGGUUUCUAUUUCAUGAUUUUUUUAUUGUAGUGUGUAGAGUUAGCUCAAGAGGAUAAAGGAAGGAAUAAUAGAGUAAAAAAAAAAACUCUUAAAACACUUAAAGACAAAAUAUCAUUUAGUUACUAUAGUGACUACAUUGGAAACCAUUUUAGAAACUAAAAAAAAAUGGUUUCUAAAUUAAUUUAUAUUAUUGUUAAAUAGUUUCUAAAUUGAUAUUUAAUUAGUUAUCAAAGUUUUAACUACCAAUUAUUUAAAUUAUAAAUUUGGUAGUAAAAACCUUAGUUGCUAGUUAGAUACCAAUCUAUAAACAAAUUAACAAUAAUAUAAACUAAUUUAGAAACCAAAUUUUUUUUUAGUCUCUAAAAUGAUCUCUAAUCUAGUCACUAUACCAACUAAUUAUUUUUUGUCUUUAAAAUUGAUUUUUAUUUCAUGAUUUUCUUCCCAUAAUUUAAUAGAGUGUUUAAGAUAAGACAGUUUCAAGUAGAUGGUCUUCUGUAUUUUUCAAUAAACUAUCACAAUCUAGAGCCAAUACAUCACAACAUUGAAAUGUCGUUACUUCUAAUUGUUAUUGUUAAUGAUACAAUAUUAAUUUUUAUUUAUCUCCAUUUCUAACAGACCCUAAGAGUGAGACACCAGCCAGCGGCGACACUUACAUUCCAAGAGAUGAAAAAAUUGGUCACUUGAAGUCAUCAGACUUUCUUACAAAUGGAAUAAAGUCCUUGGCUCAAAAUGUCUUACCUCAAUUUCAAUCUGCAAUUGCUUUAGAUCCUGAGUUUGAUAACUUUAAUGACGUUCGUGGACUCUUCAAAGAUGGACUUCCUCUUCUUACAGACGCAAUCAGAACAAUUAGCCAAACACCAGUGAUAAAGGAAAUCUUCCAGAUUGAUGGUGAAAAAGUCAAGUUUCCACCACCUCAUGUCAUCCAAAGUAUUGUCUAUUUAUAUGUCACACCUAUAUAUAUAUAAAGUAAAAUAAGCUACUAGUGAUUGGCAUGGCAACAAGUAUUUUUUAUAUUUAACAUAUCUAGUUGUUUUCCAUAAAAUUUGGAGCAGAUGGUGAGUCAUGGAUGACUGAUGAAGAAUUUGGAAGAGAGAUGCUUGCUGGUGUUCAUCCUUGCCGAAUUCAGCGUCUUCAAGUAAAUAAUGCUUUGUUGUUUAUUAACUUGGAAUGAUUUGGUUUUCAUGUUGAAAUAUAUUCAUUGUUUAUCAUCUUAAUUUACUCACAAUGUUAUUUAAUGCAUCACAGGAGUUCCCUCCAACGAGCAAGCUAGAUGCUUCUGUGUAUGGUGAUCAAACUAGCAAAAUUACCAAAAAAAAUUUGCAGAUCAACCUUGGUAAACUCACCGUGGAAAAGGUGAAUGAUAUAUAUUAAUUCCAAAGCAAAAUAACACAUAAAUAUUCAUUUAACCAUGACGCUGAAUGAUUAUAAUGAUACUUGUUCAACAGGCAUUGAAAGAUAACCGAUUGUUCAUAUUAGAUUACCAUGAUGCAUUCUUACCAUUUCUGAGGAAGAUCAAUGGCCUACCCAACACAAAGUGUUAUGCCACAAGGACAAUCCUUUUCUUGAAAGAUGAUGGCACAUUGAAGCCAUUGGCUAUUGAAUUAAGUCUACCACAUGCUGAGGGAGAUAGGUGUGGUGCUAAUAGUAGAGUUAUCUUGCCUGCACACCAAGGCGCUGAAAGAACAAUUUGGCAAUUGUCCAAGGCUUAUGUUGUUGUAAAUGACUCAUGUUAUCAUCAACUUGUGAGCCACUGGUACAUAUAAAUUCUUCCAUCAUGAAUGAACUAUCAAUUUUUUGAAUUUACUAAGUGGUUCUUAAUUUAUUUGGUUUCUGUAUCAUUUGAUAACAGGUUAAACACUCAUGCCAUAAUGGAGCCAUUUGUCAUAGCAACAAAUAGGCAUCUCAGUGUGCUCCACCCUAUUCAUAAACUUCUAUCACCACACUAUCGUGACACCAUGAAUGUUAAUGGAGUUGCACGACAAUCACUUAUCAACGCAGGUGGCCUUAUUGAGCAAUCCUUUUUGCCUGGAAAAUACGCUUUGGAAAUGUCUUCAGCAGCUUACAAGAAUUGGGUUUUCACUGAUCAAGCCCUUCCUGAAGAUCUCGUCAAGAGGUAAUGUUUAUACACAACUAGCUUUUAAUUAAUACUCUGUACUUUAGUCAACAACUCUCACUUGGAAUUUAUUUACAUAUAUACUAAUACAAUAUUUUAAUUUACAAUUUUUCUCCUGUUUGAGAUGUAAAUAAUAAAUGCUUUGUUUUCCUCCGUGAUUCAGAGGAAUGGCAGUUAAGGAUUCAUCAAAUCUCCUUCAACUUGUGAUAAAGGACUACCCUUAUGCUGUUGAUGGACUAAAGAUAUGGAGUGCUAUUCUGAAUUGGGUUACAAAGUAUGUCUCCUUCUACUAUUCAGAUAGAGUUGGGGAAGACAGAGAACUCGAGUCUUGGUGGAAGGAGGUAGUUAAGGAGGGUCACGGUGACUUGAAAGACAAGCCAUGGUGGCCAACAAAGUUGAACACUCGUCAAAAUCUGAUUCACAUUUGCAGCACUAUCAUAUGGAUUGCUUCAGCUCAACAUGCAGCUGUUAAUUUUGGACAAUACCCUUAUGGAGAUCACAUCCUAAACCGUCCAACUCUAACCAGAAGAUUGAUCCCAGACCCAGGAACCAAAGAAUAUAAUGAGCUGAGCACCAAUCAUGAAAAGGCUUAUCUGAAAACAAUUACAAAAAAACAUGAGGCCCUUGUGAACCUUUCAGUGAUAGCGAUAUUGUCAAGACAUGCUUCUGAUGAGGUCUAUCUUGGACAGAGGGACAAUCCAAAUUGGACUGAUGAU
rnacentral:lncRNA from 1 species